rnacentral:rRNA from 1 species
UACGAAGGGGGCGAGCGUUGUUCGGAUUUACUGGGCGUAAAGGGCGCGCAGGCGGCUCAUUUUGUCAGGCGUGAAAGCCCCGGGCUUAACCUGGGAACUGCGCUUGAGACGGGUGGGCUAGAGAUCGGGAGAGGAGAGUGGAAUUCCCAGUGUAGAGGUGAAAUUCGUAGAUAUUGGGAAGAACACCGGUGGCGAAGGCGGCUCUCUGGGACGGUACUGACGCUGAGACGCGAAAGCGUGGGGAGCGAACAGG